CGGACAGGGGGGUUCCCGCCCACGGGCGGGGCCUGUCCGGCCGGCCGCGCGGAACGUGUGGCCAGUGGUUGUCGCUCGGGGGUGAACGCCG
rfam:Streptomyces griseus subsp. griseus NBRC 13350 DNA, complete genome.